UGGGGAAUCUUGGACAAUGGGGGCAACCCUGAUCCAGCCAUGCCGCGUGAGUGAUGAAGGCCUUAGGGUCGUAAAGCUCUUUCGCCUGUGAAGAUAAUGACGGUAGCAGGUAAAGAAACCCCGGCUAACUCCGUGCCAGCAGCCGCGGUAAUACGGAGGGGGUUAGCGUUGUUCGGAAUUACUGGGCGUAAAGCGCACGUAGGCGGACCAGAAAGUUGGGGGUGAAAUCCCGGGGGCUCAACCCCGGAACUGCCUCCAAAACUAUUGGUCUAGAGUUCGAGAGAGGUGAGUGGAAUUCCAAGUGUAGAGGUGAAAUUCGUAGAUAUUUGGAGGAACACCAGUGGCGAAGGCGGCUCACUGGCUCGAUACUGACGCUGAGGUGCGAAAGUGUGGGGAGCAAACAGGAUUAGAUACCCUGGGUAGUCCACGCCGUAAAACGAUGUCUACUAGCCGUUGGGGGUACUUGAGACCUUAGUGGCGCAGCUAACGCACUAAGUAGACCGCCUGGGG
rnacentral:rRNA from 1 species